UACGUAGGGUGCAAGCGUUGUCCGGAAUUAUUGGGCGUAAAGAGCUCGUAGGCGGUUUGUCGCGUCUGCUGUGAAAACUCGGGGCUUAACUCCGGGCCUGCAGUGGGUACGGGCAGACUAGAGUGCGGUAGGGGAGACUGGAAUUCCUGGUGUAGCGGUGAAAUGCGCAGAUAUCAGGAGGAACACCCGUAGCGAAGGCGGCACUCUGGGCCGGAACUGACGCUGAGGAGCGAAAGCGUGGGGAGCGAACAGG
rnacentral:rRNA from 1 species